rfam:Triticum urartu cultivar G1812 contig954103, whole genome shotgun sequence.
UCACUACUCCCUCCGUCCGUAAAAGAUUGCCCCUCAAAUGGAUGUAUCUAGCACUAAUUGGUGCUAGAUACAUCCAUUUCAGGGACAAACUUUUUCGGACGGAGUGAGUACAAU